rnacentral:rRNA from 1 species
AUUGAACGCUGGCGGCAUGCCUUACACAUGCAAGUCGAACGGUAACGGGCCUUCGGGUGCCGACGAGUGGCGAACGGGUGAGUAAUGCAUCGGAACGUACCUUUCAGUGGGGGAUAACGUAGCGAAAGUUACGCUAAUACCGCAUAUUCUGUGAGCAGGAAAGCAGGGGAUCGCAAGACCUUGCGCUGAUUGAGCGCCGAUGUCAGAUUAGCUAGUUGGUGAGGUAAAGGCUCACCAAGGCGACGAUCUGUAGCGGGUCUUGAGAGGAUGAUCCGCCACACUGGAACUGAGACACGGUCCAGACUCCUACGGGAGGCAGCAGUGGGGAAUUUUGGACAAUGGGGCAACCCGUGAUCCAGCCAUGCCGCGUGAGUGAAGAAGCC